UGGGGAAUAUUGCACAAUGGGCGCAAGCCUGAUGCAGCCAUGCCGCGUGUAUGAAGAAGGCCUUCGGGUUGUAAAGUACCGAUAGAAGAAGCCCCGGCUAACUUCGUGCCAGCAGCCGCGGUAAUACGAGGGGGGCAAGCGUUGUUCGGAAUUAUUGGGCGUAAAGGGCGCGUAGGCGGUUUGGCAAGUUUGGUGUGAAAUCUUCGGGCUCAACUCGAAGUCUGCACCGAAAACUGCCGGGCUUGAGUAUGGGAGAGGUGAGUGGAAUUUCCGGUGUAGCGGUGAAAUGCGUAGAGAUCUGGAGGAAUACCGGUGGCGAAGGCGGCCCCCUGGACAAAGACUGACGCUCAGGUGCGAAAGCGUGGGGAGCAAACAGG
rnacentral:rRNA from 1 species